AUUGAACGCUGGCGGCGUGCCUUACACAUGCAAGUCGAACGGUAACAGGUCUUCGGAUGCUGACGAGUGGCGAACGGGUGAGUAAUACAUCGGAACGUGCCUAGUAGUGGGGGAUAACUACUCGAAAGAGUGGCUAAUACCGCAUGAGAUCUACGGAUGAAAGCAGGGGAUCGCAAGACCUUGUGCUACUAGAGCGGCCGAUGGCAGAUUAGGUAGUUGGUGGGAUAAAAGCUUACCAAGCCGACGAUCUGUAGCUGGUCUGAGAGGACGAUCAGCCACACUGGGACUGAGACACGGCCCAGACUCCUACGGGAGGCAGCAGUGGGGAAUUUUGGACAAUGGGCGAAAGCCUGAUCCAGCAAUGCCGCGUGCAGGAUGAAGGCCUUCGGGUUGUGAACUGCUUUUGUACGGAACGAAAAGCCCUGGGUUAAUACCCUGGGGUCAUGACGGUACCGUAAGAAUAAGCACCGGCUAACUACGUGCCAGCCGCCGCAGUAA
rnacentral:rRNA from 1 species